AAUCAACGCUGGCGGCGUGCCUCAGACAUGCAAGUCGAACGAUUAAAGCUCUCUUCGGAGAGUGCAUAGAGUGGCGCACGGGUGAGUAACACGUAAGUAAUCUACCUUCGAGUGGGGAAUAACGUCCGGAAACGGACGCUAAUACCGCAUAAUGCAGCGGCAUCGUAAGAUGACAGUUGUUAAAGGAGCAAUUCGCUUGAAGGGGAGCUUGCGGCAGAUUAGCUAGUUGGUAAGGUAAUGGCUUACCAAGGCUACGAUCUGUAUCCGGUCUAAGAGGACGGUCGGACACACUGACACUGAAUAACGGGUCAGACUCCUACGGGAGGCAGCAGUCGGGAAUUUUGGGCAAUGGGGGAAACCCUGACCCAGCAACGCCGCGUGAAGGAUGAAGUUUUUCGGAAUGUAAACUUCGAAAGAAUAGGAAGAAUCAAUGACGGUACUAUUUAUAAGGUCCGGCUAACUACGUGCCAGCCGCCGCCGUAACAC
rnacentral:rRNA from 1 species